AGUGAACGUUGGCGGCGUGGAUUAGGCAUGCAAGUCGAGCGAGAACCGUAGCAAUACGGGGACAGCGGCGAAAGGGACAGUAAUGUGUAGGUACCUACCUCCGGGUUCGGGAUAGCUGCGGGAAACUGCAGGUAAUACCGAAUAACGUCUCCGGACCAAAGGUGAGAUUCCACCUGGAGAGGGGCCUGCAUCCUAUUAGCUUGUUGGCGGGGUAACGGCCCACCAAGGCGACGAUGGGUAGCGGGUGUGAGAGCACGACCCGCGUCAUUGGGCCUGAGACACUGCCCAGACACCUACGGGUGGCUGCAGUCGUGACUCUUCGGCAAUGGGCGCAAGCCUGGCCGAGCGACGCCGCGUGCGGGAUGAAGGCCUUCGGGUUGUAAACCGCUGUCGUAGAGGAGGAAAUGCAGGGGGGUUCUCCCUCUUGUUUGACCUAUCCUAGGAGGAAGUACGGGCUAAGUUCGUGCCAGCCGCCGCCGUAA
rnacentral:rRNA from 1 species